GUAGGUGAACCUGCGGAAGGAUCAUUGUCGAAACCUGCAAAAGCAGACCGCGAACACGUGCUUAACUACACGGCGCGCGGCGCGGGGGACGCGAGUCUCCCCGUCGCGCGCUGAAUCCCCGCCGGCGCGCUCCAUCGGGUCGCGUCGUUCGGGCUAACGAACCCCGGCGCGGAAUGCGCCAAGGAAAACUUAACGAAGCGUCUGCAUCCCCGCAGCCCGUCCGCGGAACCUGCGGGGGGACCGGUCGUCU
rnacentral:misc_RNA from 1 species